ACAUCCAGAGAAUUUAGCAGAGAUGCUUUAGUGCCUUCGGGAACUCUGAGACAGGUGCUGCAUGGCUGUCGUCAGCUCGUGUUGUGAAAUGUUGGGUUAAGUCCCGCAACGAGCGCAACCCUUAUCCCUUGUUGCCAGCACGUAAUGGUGGGAACUCAAAGGAGACUGCCGGUGAUAAACCGGAGGAAGGUGGGGAUGACGUCAAGUCAUCAUGGCCCUUACGAGUAGGGCUACACACGUGCUACAAUGGCGCAUACAAAGAGAAGCGACCUCGCGAGAGCAAGCGGACCUCAUAAAGUGCGUCGUAGUCCGGAUUGGAGUCUGCAACUCGACUCCAUGAAGUCGGAAUCGCUAGUAAUCGUAAAUCAGAAUGUUACGGUGAAUACGUUCCCGGGCCUUGUACACACCGCCCGUCACACCAUGGGAGUGGGUUGCAAAAGAAGUAGAUAGCUUAACCUUCGGGAGGGCGUUUACCACUUUGUGAUUCAUGACUGGGGUGAAGUCGUAACAAGGUAGGCGUAGUGCU
rnacentral:rRNA from 1 species